GAACACCAUACCUUAAACCAUCCCCUCUAAUUAUUACUCUGUUUCACAAAAGAUAUUUUUGAAACUCUUCACCUGCAACAAGUUGGGACACAUUUAUAAAGAACUACUUUGUCUUGCCCCAAGAAGAAAAAUCCAACGCCACCCUCCUUUGUCUUCGCUUUCCUAAUUAAGCUAAUUUCUAGCUGCCCUCUAGCCUCUCCGAGCGACCUCUUUUUGAGCACCAAAUACAAAUCCAAGCCUGCCUUUGUCCGUCUCUAAGCACAGUCGACCAAAACAUCACGGAACCCAUCAUCCGCUGCUGUUACCACACGCGAUCACCACCGUAGCCGUCGCCACUGCAGCACCAACGAACGUCCGCGAACCAACCGCAGGAUCUCAUACUCGUUGAGGACAACUUGUAUCUAUAUCAUUUUGCUAAAUUGACUAAAGGUACGGAUCCUUACCCUCUCCCUUUGUUAUCUGAUUCGAUUUUUUAGAAACCCUUUUGAAUAUAUACCGUUGAAACUCCUAACGUCUUUGACAUUUCAAUAUGUUUCGAUUGGUUAUCCCUUAG
rnacentral:lncRNA from 1 species